ACGGUGAGUAACACGUAUCCAACCUGCCGUCUACUCUUGGACAGCCUUCUGAAAGGAAGAUUAAUACAAGAUGGCAUCAUGAGUUCACAUGUUCACAUGAUUAAAGGUAUUCCGGUAGACGAUGGGGAUGCGUUCCAUUAGAUAGUAGGCGGGGUAACGGCCCACCUAGUCUUCGAUGGAUAGGGGUUCUGAGAGGAAGGUCCCCCACAUUGGAACUGAGACACGGUCCAA
rnacentral:rRNA from 1 species